rnacentral:rRNA from 1 species
AUUGAACGCUGGCGGCAUGCUUUACACAUGCAAGUCGAACGGAAACAGGCCGCAAGGUGCUGACGAGCGGUGAACGGGGGAGUAUGGCAACCGAACGUGUCAAGUCGUGGGGGAAAAGUAAUAGAAAGGGGAAAUAAUACCGAAUACGAGCUAUUGUAGAAAACCGGGGACCGUAAGACUUCGCGCGGGUGGUGCGGUCGAUGUCAGAUUAGGUAGUUGGUGAUGUAAACGCUCACCAAGCCAACGAUCUGUAGCUGGUCUGAGAGGACGAGCAGCCACACUGGAACUGAGACCCGGCCCAGACGCCUACGGGAGGCAGCAGUGGGGAAUUUUUGACAAUGGGCGCAAGCCUGAUCCAGCAAUGCCGCGUGCAGGAAGAAGGCCUUCGGGUUGUAAACUGCUUUUGUACGGAACGAAACGGCUCUGGUUAAUACCCUGGUCUAAUGACGGUACCGUAAGAAUAAGCACCGGCUAACUACGUG